CGGAGCCAGAGGGGUGGCUUGGGGUGGCCCACGCCACCCCUGAGAUUCGAUUGGCCACCCCAGGUGCCACCCCAAAAUCCUACUCUACGAUUGGUCAUUAACGUGGUCAAAGGCGGAACCUUUGUUGACGCACUUUGCUGCCUUUAAAUCAGCGCGGGAGCUUGGACAGUCAGACACCAGAACUCAGAAAUAUUCAGACAAGGGUGGUGGAGACACUUCAGAUCCUUAUAAGGGUCCAUCAUCAUCAUCUUGUCUCACUGGUUGUCCACGUGCAGCUACAAACCCAACCCCUGGACCUCAUGACAUCUCCCAAUCAAGGGCAGCAGAUCCAACUCAACCUGUGCUGAGGAUGUUUCCCAAGACCACACAAGGUCAGAAAAGAAGGGCAUUCAACCCGCAGUGGUACAGCAAGUAUUCUUGGUUAG